GCAAACUUGGUCAUUUAGAGGAAGUAAAAGUCGUAACAAGGUUUCCGUAGGUGAACCUGCGGAAGGAUCAUUACUGAGUUAGGGUCUCCGGCCCGACCUCCAACCCUUUGUGAAAACGACCAUGUUGCUUCGGUGGGUCGGUUCGCCGCCGGAAUUCGUUCUGGAGAGUGCCCACCGGUAGCCUUUAUCAAACUCGUUAAACUUUGUCUAAAUGGAUUGAAGAAAUUCAAAACUUUCAACAACGGAUCUCUUGGUUCUGGCAUCGAUGAAGAACGCAGC
rnacentral:misc_RNA from 1 species